rnacentral:rRNA from 1 species
AUUGAUUUUAUGCUUGCAUAAAUGAUUUUUGGAUUCGGAGCGAGUGGCGAACUGGUGAGUAACACGUGGGUAACCUGCCCCGAAGCGGGGGAUAACAUUUGGAAACAAGUGCUAAUACCGCAUAAUUAGUUGGAACCGCAUGGUUCCAACUUGAAAGAUGGCUCUGCUAUCACUUUGGGAUGGACCCGCGCCGUAUUAGUUAGUUGGUGAGAUAAAAGCCCACCAAGACGAUGAUACGUAGCCGACCUGAGAGGGUAAUCGGCCACAUUGGGACUGAGACACGGCCCAGACUCCUACGGGAGGCAGCAGUAGGGAAUCUUCCACAAUGGACGAAAGUCUGAUGGAGCAACGCCGCGUGAGUGAUGAAGGUUUUCGGAUCGUAAAACUCUGUUGUUAAAGAAGAACAAGUGUUAGAGUAACUGUUAACACUUUGACGGUAUUUAACCAGAAAGCCACGGCUAACUACGUGCCAGCAGCCGCGGUAAUACGUAGGUGGCAAGCGUUGUCCGGAUUUAUUGGGCGUAAAGCGAGCGUAGGCGGUUUUGUAAGUCUGCUGUGAAAGCCCUCAGCUCAACUGAGGAAGUGCAGUGGAAACUACAAAACUUGAGUACAGAAGAGGAAAGUGGAACUCCAUGUGUAGCGGUGAAAUGCGUAGAUAUAUGGAAGAACACCAGUGGCGAAGGCGGCUUUCUGGUCUGUUACUGACGCUGAGGCUCGAAAGCAUGGGUAGCGAACAGGAUUAGAUACCCUGGUAGUCCAUGCCGUAAACGAUGAAUACUAGGUGUUGGAGGGUUUCCGCCCUUCAGUGCCGCAGCUAACGCAUUAAGUAUUCCGCCUGGGGAGUACGACCGCAAGGUUGAAACUCAAAGGAAUUGACGGGGGCCCGCACAAGUGGUGGAGCAUGUGGUUUAAUUCGAUGCUACGCGAAGAACCUUACCAGCUCUUGACAUCUUCUGCCAACCCAAGAGAUUGGGCGUUCCCUUCGGGGACAGAAUGACAGGUGGUGCAUGGUUGUCGUCAGCUCGUGUCGUGAGAUGUUGGGUUAAGUCCCGCAACGAGCGCAACCCUUAUUAUUAGUUGCCAGCAUUUAGUUGGGCACUCUAGUGAGACUGCCGGUGAUAAA